rnacentral:rRNA from 1 species
GGUUCCUACGGGAGGCAGCAGUGAGGAAUAUUGGUCAAUGGGCGAGAGCCUGAACCAGCCAAGUCGCGUGAGGGAUGACUGCCCUAUGGGUUGUAAACCUCUUUUGUAUGGGGGGAAUAAGCUUUACGAGUAGAGUGAUGACAGUACCAUACGAAUAAGCAUCGGCUAACUCCGUGCCAGCAGCCGCGGUAAUACGUAGGUGGCAAGCGUUAUCCGGAUUUACUGGGUGUAAAGGGCGUGUAGGCGGGAGAGCAAGUCAG